rnacentral:rRNA from 1 species
UACCAGCACCCGAGUGGUCGGGACGAUUAUUGGGCCUAAAGCAUCCGUAGCCGGCCUUACAAGUCCUCCGUUAAAUCCAGCUGCUUAACAGAUGGGCUGCGGAGGAUACUAUAAGACUAGGAGGCAGGAGAGGCAAGCGGUACUCAGUGGGUAGGGGUAAAAUCCGUUGAUCCAUUGAAGACCACCAGUGGCGAAGGCGGCUUGCCAGAAUG